UCUGUACAAGGAGGCCAUGAUGGAGGAGCACCAGCCUCUUAUAUCACAAGAAAGUGCCAGUAACAAUUCUGAGGGAAAUUUCAUAUUAUCACUAACUUAUAAAGCAAAAGAUAAAGAUAUCCUACAGCUUUCUUCAGGAAAAAACCUCAUUACCCUUAAUGUACGUCCAGGACCUCACAGUUCAGAUCUAUCGUAUAACUCCCCUAAUCAUGAGGAACCUUCUCCUGAUCAAUUACACAUUUUUACCAAAAGUAGAAAUCAGAAAGGGGUGAAACGUUUUCAGUGUGGCAAAGAAUCCACAAAAACCUCAGGUAUUUCUAUAAAGAGAAGAAGACAUAAAGGAGAGAAGCUGAACUCCUGUUCAGAAUGUAAGAAAUGUUUUAAAAAUAAAUCACAUCUUCUUAGACAUCAGAGAAUUCACACAGGAGAGAAGACACACACCUGUUCAGAAUGUUCCAAGUGCUUCACAGACAAAUCAAGUCUUGUUAGACAUGAGAAAAGUCAUACAAGUGAGAAGCCAUAUUCAUGUUCAGAAUGUGGGAAGUGCUUUACAGAUAAAUCAAGUCUUGUUAUACAUGAGAGAAGUCACACAGGAGUGAAGCUAUUUUCAUGCUCAGAAUGUGAGAAAUGUUUUACAUUGAAAGCAAAUCUUGUGGCACACGAGAGAAGGCACACAGGAGAGAAGCCAUAUUCGUGUUCAGAAUGUGAGAAAUGUUUUACAAUGAAAGCAAAUCUUGUUGCACACGAGAGAAGUCACACAGGAGAGAAGCCAUAUUCGUGUUCAGAAUGUGGGAAAUGUUUUUCAUAUAAAAUAAGUCUAGUUACACAUGAGAGAAUUCACACAGGAGAAACGCCAUUCUCAUGUUCAGAAUGUGGAAAAUGUUUUACUGCUAAAUUAAAUCUUGUUAGACAUGAGAAGAGAAUUCACAGCAGGAGAUAAGGCCAUAUUCGUGUUCAGAAUGUGGAAAUGCUUUGCACAGAAGUCAAUUCUUGUUAGACAUGAGAAAAGUCAUACAGAGAGAAACCAUAUUCAUGUUCAGAAUGUGAGAAAUGUUUUAAAGAAAAAUCUGAUCUUUUUAGACAUAUUAGAAGUCACACAGGAGUGAGACCGUAUCCAUGCUCAGAAUGUGGGAAACGGUUUACACAGAAAUCGGACCUUGUUAGUCAUGAGAGAAUUCACACAGGAGUGAAGCCAUAUUCAUGUUUAGAAUGUGAGAGAUGUUUUUCAGAUCAAUCAAGUUUUAUUAAACAUGAGAGAAUGCACGCAGGAGAGAAACCAUAUUCAUGUUCAGAAUGUGGAAAAAAGUUUUAACACAGAAAAUCAGACCUUGCUAGUCAUGAGAGAAUUCACACAGUAGAAAAACCAUAUUCAUGUUCAGAAUGUGGAAAAUGUUUUAAAGAGAAAUCAAAGCUUGUUAUACAUAAGAGAAGGCAUACAAAAGAGAACCCAUAAUCAUGCUCAGAAUGUGGUAAAUGUUUUGUACAGAAAUCAACUCUUGUUGCACAUGAGAGAAUUCAUACAGGAGAAAAGCCAUAUUUAUGUUCAGAAUGUGAGAAAUGUUUUACACAAAAAUCAGAACUUGUUUCCCAUAAGAAAACUCACACAGAAGAGAAGCCAUAUUCGAGGAGCGGAGCCUAACCGCUAAGCAAGACUGAGAUCUAAGCGAGAGCUCCCUCCUCACAGACCCCUGUUUCACAGAUCUUACACGCCAGAGAAAGCCCCACCAUGUUUUAAAAUAGGAGAGAAAAACCCAGGGAGCCUUUGGGCAUCCCCCAAAAGAAAGAAGAACCAAACAGAAGUAGACAGAUUCUUCAAGAAGACUUCCACAGCAUCGCGGGACUCGGAGGGUGAAGAAGACGACGACAGAGACUCCAUGCAAGGUACCUGCGAACUCGCACAUGCGGCAGAUAGCGGCGCACUCACAAAGUCGUUCUUCAAAGCAAGCCUGUCCCAGGCUUUAGCCCCGUUGACUCAGGAGAUAAAGGAGUUAAGAAACUAUGUGAGAUCCCUGGGCCACCGGGUGGAAAGACUUGAAGAAGAUCAAGGCCAGGUAAGGGAAACCUCCAGUCUUGCAGACUUUAUUAACGCUAUCUCAUGGGGCAAAGAAAAAAGCAUCUCC